GGCUAUUCGUCGGCAGCGUCAGAUGUGUAUAAGAGACAGUUUAAAGAGUGCGUAACAGCUCACUAGUCGAAUGACUCUGCGCCGAUAAUUUACCGGGGCUAAGCAUACUACCGAAGCUAUGGAUCCCAAGGGAUGGUAGGGGAGCGUUCCAUGAACGGAGAAGUACGACCGAAAGGACGUGUGGAGAUCAUGGAAGAGAGAAUGCCGGUGUGAGUAGCGGAACGUGGGUGAGAAUCCCACGCACCGAAAACCCAAGGUUUCCAGAGGAAGGUUCGUCCGCUCUGGGUAAGUCGGGACCUAAGGCGAGGCCGAAAGGCGUAGUCGAUGGACAACAGGUAGAGAUUCCUGUACCCGUAUAUAUGUGAAGGAAUGACGGAGAGAGGAAGCUGCAGCCAGCGGCUGGAAGAGCUGGUGCAAGCGAGAUAUCGGGAUGGCAGGCAAAUCCACCAUCCGAAACGAGAAGGCGUGAAGCGUACGGAAAGCUACGGCGAGUACGGAAGGCAGUGGAGGAACUUCCAAGAAAAGUUUCUAGCGUUAAGUAUAUAUGGCCCGUACCGAAAAUGGACACACAUGGGUGAGGAGAGAAUCCUAAGGUGAGCGAGAGAACUAUAGCUAAGGAACUCUGCAAAAUGACUCCGUAACUUAGGGAGAAGGAGUGCUCAUAGAGAUAUGAGCCGCAGUGAAACGGCCCAAGCGACUGUUUACCAAAAACACAGCUCUCUGCUAAGCCGCAAGGCGAAGUAUAGGGGGUGACGCCUGCCCGGUGCUGGAAGGUUAAGGGGAGGGGUUAACGCAAGUGAAGCCCUGAACUGAAGCCCCAGUAAACGGCGGCCGUAACUAUAACGGUCCUAAGGUAGCGAAAUUCCUUGUCAGGUAAGUUCUGACCCGCACGAAAGGCGUAACGAUUUGGGCGCUGUCUCAGCUGUAGACUCGGUGAAGUCUUAGUACCUGUGAAGAUGCAGGUUACCCGCGACUAGACGGAAAGACCCCAUGGAGCUUCACUGCAGGUUGAUAUUGGGAUUUGAUGCAGCAUGUACAGGAUAGGUAGGAGGCAAAGAGAUGGAUACGCCAGUAUUCAAGGAGCCGCUGUUGGGAUACUACCCCUGUUGUAUUGGAUUUCUAACCGGACGACGUAGAGCCGUUGACGGGACAGUGUCAGUCGGGCAGUUUGACUGGGGCGGUCGCCUCCCAAAGAGUAACGGAGGCGCCCAAAGAUACCCUCAGCUUGGAUGGAAACCAAGCGCAGAGUGCAAAGGCAAAAGGGUGUUUGACUGCGAGACCCACAAGUCGAGCAGGGACGAAAGUCGGGCUUAGUGAUCCGGCGGUGCUGAAUGGAAAGGCCGUCGCUCAACGGAUAAAAGCUACCCUGGGGAUAACAGGCUGAUCUCCCCCAA
rnacentral:rRNA from 1 species